CCUACGGGCGGCAGCAGUGGGGAAUAUUGCGCAAUGGGCGAAAGCCUGACGCAGCGACGCCGCGUGAGGGAUGAAGGUCUUCGGAUUGUAAACCUCUGUCAGCAGGGAAGAACGGUCACGGUGCUAAGCAGCAGUGAAUGGACGGUACCUGCAAAGGAAGCACCGGCUAACUCCGUGCCAGCAGCCGCGGUAAUACGGAGGGUGCGAGCGUUAAUCGGAAUUACUGGGCGUAAAGCGCUCGUAGGCGGUAUGUCAAGUCAAGGGUGAAAUCCCCGCGCUCAACGUGGGAACUGCCUUUGAAACUUGCAAACUGGAUUGUGUGAGAGGUUAGUGGCAUUCCCGGUGU
rnacentral:rRNA from 1 species